ensembl:lncRNA
CUCCUUCCUCCUGAAACUACUCAUUAUCCACGCCUCUCUUCCCCCCCCCGGAGACUUCCGACCACCUCCUUCCUCCUGGGUCUGAUGGGCAUUGUCUCUUUAUGUUGUAGAUGUGUGUUCAUCCCACCCUCUAGGCUGGGAGCUCUGCCAGGUGAGGGCCGAUGACUGUCUUAUUCUCAGGUUCCCACUAUCAACUACAGUGUUUGGCAUGCAGAAGCUCAAUAAAUGUUUGUUUCAAUGAAAUGGAAACAGAGCUAUUUAGGGCAUGCUGGUAAUGGAAAUAACCCAGCUUGAAAGAUGCUCUGCGCUAGGUUGCAACCACAGGCAGUUCCAGGCUUACUUAGAAGCCCUGAAUUUACCAUCAGCUUCUAGCCAGGGCUACUAGUUACUGGCUGCUCUGGAGGCCACCCCAUGAUUGCCAUGGGAACCAGCCACUCACAAAGCCUCUGGGGCCCCUGCUCUCUGUGAGCCUUCUCAGAUGCUGCCUUGGGAACUGCACAGGUGCUGGCACCUCCAGCCAGUCAACUCCUUAGAGUGACCUUGGGCCAGAAGAUGGGGGCAGGGCCUCAGUGGGGACAGAACCACCCCACCUACAGCUGCUUUUAUAAAUGGAGAAAUGCAUUCAAAGUUCCAAAGCAACCAGCCAGUAAGUGGACUACUGAAGCUCCUGUGAGAUGAAGUGGCUUCACUCUUGGCAGCUAGAAUAAGAAAGGCAAGAGCCAAGAACCAGGAGUGGCCAUGUGGCUACCCAAGGGAUCUGAGAGGAAGCAACGUGGGCCACUUCCAGGCCUGGUCUCAAAAAUCUCCCAUGCAUGCCUGCAUGCGCUCAUCCUCUUCUGGCUGGCUGGAAUGACGGUGACCCUGGGCAACUUUGGAAGUAACUAGCGAUCUGGUGAUGAUGGCAGAGUCUCUGCCAGUCCAAGACCCUGAAGGACUGUGCAGAAGAGAGAUGCCCCCCGCCAACCUCUGCCCCUGUCCAGAAGUAUUAUCUGGACAAGAAAAUAAAUGUCUGCGGUGAUUGCACACUGUUACAAGAGGUCUGUUAGUUACAAGAAGUAGCCUUCCCUAACUGAUACAACGGGACAGUCCUAUCUAGCUUUCAGCUUCCCUGUGCCACCCUCCACAAGUCAGGACUAGUUCUAGGGCAACUGAAUUGUGUAGGCUGAGGUGGACAGGUCCAGAGGUGCUGGGAUCAGAGCUGUUCUGUUCAUCACAACAGCUGCUUCCUGUGUUCUGGAAGCCUUCCAAGAAGGUGGCUCCAAGACAGAGCAUGAAUUGUUCACACGAUAUGUUCCCAGGGAGAUUAUGGAUUUGCUGCAUGGUGUCUGAGGAAAUACGACAUCCACGGAAGCCUCUGCCACAUCCAAAGAAGGAAUUAAUCCAUCAGUACUCAUUGAGUGUCUACUAUAGUCACAGCACUCUGCUCCUGGUUGAAAAUAUACAAGAGAAAGAUUAAAAGACCCAGUUCAAUACGUCUGUCUGCGGAAGGGGAAAUGAAGCAUCUGCUUGGUGCCUCCAUUAGGAAGAUGACUUACGACAGGCAGCUGUCAGGCAAGGCGUCUGCAUUCUGACGGAGCCGGCUAGACCAUGGAGCUGAAAGCCUUCAAGAAGCCAAUGAAAGUCCCAGAACCUUAGCCCAGCCCUUCCCCACCCGCUCCCCCAGAAGCAACGUGAACAUGGGUGCCCACAUACACACAACUGUGAGAAUAAUUUCAGCGUUUUCGAGCUUCCUCACCCCCAAGGUCCAGACCCGGAUGCCACAUCUAUCAGUUCUGAGCUGUGUGAUGUGGGUGGAAUUACUCGCUGUCCUCCUUUGUAAGAUGGGCAUGCACGAACCACACCCAGCUCAUGGGUUUGUUCUGAAGAUGACAUGAGCAGCUGGAGCUGGAGCCCUGGGCACGGCACCUUGCCCAUACUGGGAGCUGGUCAUUAUUAGCUGGUAUUCUCAUGCCCAGGCCAGGAGUUUAAGAUUCCCCAGUCAAAGAGAAUAAUAUAGGUACUUUACAGUUGAUCAGUGCCAAUUUUUCUUUGAAAUCUACCUUACAGGUUUUCUGGAGUAAUGGUUCAGAGUAUGGAUUUACUUUAUAAUAUCGAUAAUUUACUUUAAAAUGGUUUGACUUUGAGCAAGGGAACACUGAGUUUGUAUUAGCUGGAGCCUCCAGGGUGGUCAGCUGGUGUUAUAUCACAAAGACGUCAGGUCUUCAGAUCACUGAGGCUUUGAAAAUUAACAUCGUGAGCGUCAGAAGUGAGUUUUACUGGUGAAAUGAGAGGCUUGCUAGUCUACAUGAUGAAUAUCGGACAUAGGCUCUCGAUGGCAAAAUCAAAGGUAUUCGAGUGUGGAGGGCUGGGUAAACAUUGUAAAGGCGCUCCCCACGUGUGCAUGAGGCGCUGUAGGAAUCCAGUGAGGCCUGUGGCCAUGGCCACAGGGACGGCACCGAAUGUUGCUGUUGCUUCUGUGAACUUUUCAGACAAGAGGUAGACCCAUCAAGCUCACAGCCGUGUGAACUGUCCUGGGCUUGCUUUCUCAAGGAAUGUUGGCUUAAUAAAAGGCCUGUGUUUGUGGCCGAACUUGG